UACAGAGGUCUCAAGCGUUGUUCGGAAUUACUGGGCGUAAAGCGCACGUAGGCGGCUUUGUAAGUUAGAGGUGAAAGCCCGGGGCUCAACUCCGGAAUUGCCUUUAAGACUGCAUCGCUUGAAUCCGGGAGAGGUGAGUGGAAUUCCGAGUGUAGAGGUGAAAUUCGUAGAUAUUCGGAAGAACACCAGUGGCGAAGGCGGCUCACUGGACCGGUAUUGACGCUGAGGUGCGAAAGCGUGGGGAGCAAACAGG
rnacentral:rRNA from 1 species